GAUGAACGCUGGCGGCGUGCUUAACACAUGCAAGUCGAACGGUGAACACGGAGCUUGCUCUGUGGGAUCAGUGGCGAACGGGUGAGUAACACGUGAGCAACCUGCCCCUGACUCUGGGAUAAGCGCUGGAAACGGCGUCUAAUACUGGAUACGAGUAGCGGCCGCAUGGUCAGUUACUGGAAAGAUUUUUUGGUUGGGGAUGGGCUCGCGGCCUAUCAGCUUGUUGGUGAGGUAAUGGCUCACCAAGGCGUCGACGGGUAGCCGGCCUGAGCGGGUGACGGGCCACACUGGGACUGAGACACGGCCCAGACUCCUACGGGAGGCAGCAGUGGGGAAUAUUGCACAAUGGGCGGAAGCCUGAUGCAGCAACGCCGCGUGAGGGAUGACGGCCUUCGGGUUGUAAACCUCUUUUAGCAGGGAAGAAGCGAAAGUGACGGUACCUGCAGAAAAAGCGCCGGCUAACUACGUGCCAGCCGCCGCCGUAA
rnacentral:rRNA from 1 species